rnacentral:tRNA from 1 species
GGAAGGGUAGCGAAGAGGCUAAACGCGGCGGACUGUAAAUCCGCUCCUUCGGGUUCGGGGGUUCGAAUCCCACAUCCUCCUU